rnacentral:rRNA from 1 species
AGGAUGAACGCUGGCGGUCUGCUUAACACAUGCAAGUCGAACGGAGUAGCAAUACUUAGUGGCGGACGGGUGAGUAACGCGUGAGAAUCUACCUUCAGGACGGAGACAACAGUUGGAAACGACUGCUAACCCCCGAUGUACCGAAAGGGCAAAUAUUUAUAGCCUGAAGAAGAGCUCGCGUCCGAUUAGCUAGUUGGAGAGGUAAAAGCUCACCAAGGCGACGAUCGGUAGCUGGUCUGAGAGGAUGAUCAGCCACACUGGGACUGAGACACGGCCCAGACUCCUACGGGAGGCAGCAGUGGGAAUUUUCCGCAAUGGGCGAAAGCCUGACGGAGCAAGACCGCGUGAGGGAGGAAGGCUCUUGGGUUGUAAACCUCUUUUCUUGGGGAAGAACAAAAUGACGGUACCAAGGAAUCAGCAUCGGCUAACUCCGUGCCAGCAGCCGC